rnacentral:rRNA from 1 species
AGCGAACGCUGGCGGCAGGCCUAACACAUGCAAGUCGAACGAAGCCUUCGGGCUUAGUGGCGGACGGGUGAGUAACACGUGGGAACGUACCUUUUGGUUCGGAACAACUCAGGGAAACUUGAGCUAAUACCGGAUGAGCCCUUCGGGGGAAAGAUUUAUCGCCAUUAGAGCGGCCCGCGUUAGAUUAGCUAGUUGGUGAGGUAAAGGCUCACCAAGGCUACGAUCUAUAGCUGGUCUGAGAGGAUGAUCAGCCACACUGGGACUGAGACACGGCCCAGACUCCUACGGGAGGCGGCAGUGGGGAAUCUUGCGCAAUGGGCGAAAGCCUGACGCAGCCAUGCCGCGUGAAUGAUGAAGGUCUUAGGAUUGUAAAAUUCUUUUACCAGGGACGAUAAUGACGGUACCUGGAGAAAAAGCCCCGGCUAACUUCGUGCCAGCAGCCGCGGUAAGAC